GGGGUUUUGGUAUUUUGAUAGGUCCAAAGCUUUUUUGGGAGGGAAUUCGAUUGACCUGAACAGCCUUGAAUCAUAUGCUGUGGGUAUAUGUUUCUGGGUUUGUGGUAGACAUGGCAGUUUUCUCUGUCAACGAGUGCUACACUAUUCAUGCAUGGUAUGAGAAACAGUCUCGCAUGGCGGUGGUUGUUCGCGGGUUGCAAUCAAGAGGGUUGGCUCAGAAGGUGUGAGUGGGACGCCGAAAAAACCUUCGCCACAAAAUAUGAAGUUUCUAUGGUAGUUUGCAUAAGUGAGAGUUGCUGGGCUCUGUGGUUAUGUAUGCUGCAAUAGUGGAGAUAUGGUGAAGAGGGAUCCUGAGGGUAUAAAUGCUUGCUCUCCCUUUACCCCUCUAUUUUUCUUGCCCUAAGUUUGUGUUGUAUGGUCCUAUGCUUUAAGUGGUUGUGUUGAGCUUAGUUGGGUUGCUUCUCUUUCUUGUGGAUGUGGCUACCAGUGAAAGUUCACAGACGAAGAUGCAGACGUUUUUGGGAGAUGUUGGUCCUCCAUGCGGCUCUGGUGCUAAGUUUGUCUGAGUUAUUGGGUUGGGUUACAGCCCACCCCAAUUACGGUUUUUGCUAGGCUAUAAUAGUAUGGGUUAGGGUGUUGUUAGC
rnacentral:misc_RNA from 1 species